UACGUAGGGAGCAAGCGUUGUCCGGAAUCAUUGGGCGUAAAGCGCGUGUAGGCGGCCCGGUAAGUCCGCUGUGAAAGUCGGGGGCUCAACCCUCGAAUGCCGGUGGAUACUGUCGGGCUCGAGUGCGGAAGAGGCGAGUGGAAUUCCUGGUGUAGCGGUGAAAUGCGCAGAUAUCAGGAGGAACACCAAUUGCGAAGGCAGCUCGCUGGGACGUUACUGACGCUGAGACGCGAAAGCGUGGGGAGCAAACAGG
rnacentral:rRNA from 1 species